GCGGCGGACGGGUGAGUAACACGUGGGCAACCUGCCUGUAAGACUGGGUAACUCCGGGAAACCGGGGCUAAUACCGGAAAUUCAUUCCCUCACAUGAGGGAAUG
rnacentral:rRNA from 1 species